rnacentral:rRNA from 1 species
UACGUAGGGGGCAAGCGUUGUCCGGAAUUAUUGGGCGUAAAGAGCGUGUAGGCGGUCCGGUAAGUCGGCUGUGAAAGUCAAGGGCUCAACCCUUGAAUGCCGGUUGAUACUGUCGGGCUAGAGUGCGGAAGAGGCGAGUGGAAUUCCUGGUGUAGCGGUGAAAUGCGCAGAUAUCAGGAGGAACACCAAUUGCGAAGGCAGCUCGCUGGGACGUUACUGACGCUGAGACGCGAAAGCGUGGGGAGCAAACAGG